AACGAACGCUGGCGGCAUGCCUAACACAUGCAAGUCGAACGAGACCUUCGGGCCUAGUGGCGCACGGGUGCGUAACGCGUGGGAACCUGCCCUUAGGUUCGGAAUAACUCCCCGAAAGGGGUGCUAAUACCGGAUAAUGUCUUCGGACCAAAGAUUUAUCGCCAUUGGAUGGGCCCGCGUUGGAUUAGCUAGUUGGUAGGGUAAAAGCCUGCCAAGGCGACGAUCCAUAGCUGGUCUGGGAGGAUGAUCCGCCACACUGGGACUGAGGCACGGCCCAGACUGCGACGGGAGGCAGCAGUGGGGAAUAUUGGGCAAUGGACGAAAGCCUGAUCCAGCAGUGCCGCGUGAGUGAUGAAGGCCUUAGGGUUGUAAAGCUCUUUUACCCGGGAUGAUAAUGACGGUACCGGGAGAAUAAGCUCCGGCUAACUCCGUG
rnacentral:rRNA from 1 species